rnacentral:rRNA from 1 species
ACGGCGAGUGAAGCGGCAACAGCUCAAAUUUGAAAUCUGGCCUCGGCCCGAGUUGUAAUUUGCAGAGGAUGUUUCUGGCGCGGUGCCUUCUGAGUUCCCUGGAACGGGACGCCAUAGAGGGUGAGAGCCCCGUACGGUUGGACGCCUAGCCUGUGUGAAACUCCUUCGACGAGUCGAGUAGUUUGGGAAUGCUGCUCAAAAUGGGAGGUAUAUCUCUUCUAAAGCUAAAUAUUGGCCAGAGACCGAUAGCGCACAAGUAGAGUGAUCGAAAGAUGAAAAGCACCUUGAAAAGGGGGUUAAACAGCACGUGAAAUUGUUGAAAGGGAAGCGCCCAUGACCAGACUUGUGCCCGGCGGAUCACCCAGCGUUCUCGCUGGGGCACUCCGCCGGGUCCAGGCCAGCAUCGGUUCUCGCCGGGGGAUAAAGGCUCUGGGAACGUAGCUCCUCCGGGAGUGUUAUAGCCCUCUGCGUAAUACCCUGGCGGGGACCGAGGUACGCGCUCCGCAAGGAUGCUGGCGUAAUGGUCAUCAGCGACCCGUCUUGAAACACGGAUCAAGGAGUCGUCCAUUAGAGCGAGCGUUUGGGUGUCAAACCCGCACGCGUAAUGAAAGUGAACGUAGGUGAGAGCUUCGGCGCAUCAUCGACCGAUCCUGAUGUCCUCGGAUGGAUUUGAGUAUGAGUUUUACUGGACGGACCCGAAAGAUGGUGAACUAUGCCUGAAUAGGGUGAAGCCAGAGGAAACUCUGGUGGAGGCUCGCAGCGGUUCUGACGUGCAAAUCGAUCGUCAAAUUUGGGCAUGGGGGCGAAAGACUAAUCGA